rnacentral:rRNA from 1 species
CCUACGGGUGGCCGCAGUGGGGAAUAUUGCACAAUGGGGGAAACCCUGAUGCAGCAACGCCGCGGGUGUGAAGAAGUAUUUCGGUAUGUAAAGCCCUAUCAGCAGAGAAGAAGAACGACUGUACCUGACUAAGAAGCCCCGGCUAACUACGUACCAGAAGCCGCGGUAAUACGUAGGCGGCAAGCGUUAGCCGGAUGUACUGGGUGUAAAGGGAGCGUAGACGGCGGGUCACGUCUGAAGUGAAAGCCCGUGGCUCAACCUCGGAACUGCUUGGGAAAAUGGCUAGCUUGAGUACUGGAGAGGCAGGGGGAAUUCCUAGUGUAGCGGUGAAAUGCGUAGAUAUUAGGAGGAACACCAGUGGCGAAGGCGGCCUGCUGGACAGAAACUGACGUUGAGGUUCGAAAGCGUGGGGAGCAAACAGGAUUAGAUACCCCAGUAGUC